AGCAGCCGCGGUAAUUCCAGCUCCAAUAGCGUAUAUUAAAGUUGUUGCAGUUAAAAAGCUCGUAGUUGAAUUUUGGGUUUGGCCAAUUGGUCCGUUCUUGUAACGAGUACUGGUUGGUUGGGCCUCACCGCCUGGUGAUACGUAAUGUCCUUUAUUGGGUGUUGCGAGUAGUCAGGACCUUUACCUUGAAAAAAUUAGAGUGUUUAAAGCAGGCUUAUGCCGGAAUACAUUAGCAUGGAAUAAUAGAAUAGGACGAUGAUUCUAUUUUGUUGGUUUCUAGGAGCAUCGUAAUGAUUAAUAGGGAUAGUUGGGGGCAUUAGUAUUCAAUUGUCAGAGGUGAAAUUCUUGGAUUUAUUGAAGACUAACUACUGCGAAAGCAUUUGCCAAGGAUGUUUUCAUUAAUCAAGAACGAAAGUUAGGGGAUCGAAGACGAUCAGAUACCGUCGUAGUCUUAACCAUAAACUAUGCCGACUAGGGAUCGGGCGAUGUUGUUUCAAUGACUCGCUCGGCACCUUAUGGG
rnacentral:rRNA from 1 species